UCCCUGGUGGUCCAGUGGUUAAGACUCUGAGCUCCCAAUCCAGGGGGCUUGGGUUCGAUCCCUGGUCAAAGAA
rnacentral:tRNA from 1 species